AUGCAGCCAACACACUCAACCGCCGGCGGACGCCCCGGCUCCGCCCAGAUCCCCCAUCUGAAUUUGCUCCGGGAAUGCAUCGUGAACCACCGCUCUGCUGUUUUCGCACCCUUCUGGUCGCGAGUCCUUCACGCGCACAUCCACCACCGUGAUCCUCCGACCGGACCCGCGUCGCUUGCCGCUUGCUCCGACCGCCACCCCAUCACCGGUAGUCGAGAGUGA